CUCACACCAUCUCAUCUUCAUGCCUAAUUCCUUCUGGGACAAGACACACUUGCUACUUCAUUACUUCAUCUAUCGUGCCAUUCUUGCAGAAUCUGGUGACAGAAGGACUUUAUCAUAUAGAAAGACUCAAGAACCCCACAGCCCCAUGAUUACUGCCAUCAGCACACCCAGGCAUAGUGGGAAAAGUGCCCAUAUAGAAGACUGAAGAGUUCUUUGUGGCGCUGGGAUGGCAACUCGGUAGUAAAAUGCUUGCCUCACAAGCACGAGAGUCUUAAUUCAGUCCUCAGACCCCAAUAAAAAUUCUGGACAUAA
rnacentral:lncRNA from 1 species